rnacentral:lncRNA from 1 species
CCAAUGACACAGUGGAAAAAAAGGCAAACAUUUAUUUUUAUUUGCAAGAGCAGUUUCUGCCAAUAGUUAAUGCUCACAAAACCUUUUAAGCUACAGUAACUUUUGGUAAACUCAAUGAAGACUUUAAAAAAGACCCAGUGAUAAGAAAAUUACAGAAAAAUCUCCAUUACACUGUCGAAAAUGUUUGGAAUCCAAAAUCCACUAUUUUCUGCAAUGGUUUUUAAUAUUUGCUCUGGUUAAAAAAAGAUUUUCUUUUUGCUUCCUUUCUACUUCUACAUAGUCCUGGUUAAAUGAAUACAAUCUCUCCCAUAUCUGCCAUUUUCUGGAUUUAGAUUAUUUUCAUUCUUACAAGCCAGAGCAUUUUCAAAAUUUUAAAUUCAUGUUUGUUACAGUAUGUGAAGUCAUUAAGAAAAGCCUCUGGUUUUCCAGUUUGGUAACAAAUGGCUUUUGUUUGAUGCAGAAUUAAUAGAAACUAAUGAUGACUAUGUAGCUUUUCCAGAGUUUUAAAGGCAAAUCUAUAUUGGCCUACAGUUAACAUGCAAAUUCUUCCAACAAGCAACACAAAAUGUAUUGUAGUAGUCAUUCAUGUUUAUCAACAUUCAAGAAGAUCUAGUCAGCAGCACAACUCUCCUAUGUCAGAAACACGUAACAUGGUCACAACUGAAUUCAGAUCACACCUGGGAAAAAUCCCCUUUUCCUAAUGCAUCCUCUAGAGUCCAGACUCCCAGCACGGUACAGAAACAACAGCAAUGAAUACUGCGGUACAAAGGGAAGCACAGACAAGAGUUUGGUGUGCCAGCAUACAGAGCUUUCAAAACAGUGACAAACAAAACCAAACAUCUUGCCCUGUUCUCUUUUCCUUCUGUGAGACUAGAAUUCUCACAGUCUUCUAGAAACAUUCAAUUCGGGGAAUGAAGUCCAAAUGACCCUAGCACUGGGGUGCUGA